rnacentral:rRNA from 1 species
UACAGAGGGUGCGAGCGUUAAUCGGAAUUACUGGGCGUAAAGCGUGCGUAGACGGUUAUCUAAGUCGGAUGUGAAAGCCCCGGGCUCAACCUGGGAAUUGCAUUCGAGACUGAAUAGCUAGGGUACGGUAGAGGGAAGUGGAAUUUCCGGUGUAGCGGUGAAAUGCGUAGAUAUCAUUUGGAACGCCAAAGGUGAAAACAGACAGCUGGGAGUGUGCUGACGCUGAGACACGAAAGCCAGGGGAGCGAACGGG